AGCGAACGCUGGCGGCAGGCCUAACACAUGCAAGUCGAACGAACCCUUCGGGGUUAGUGGCGGACGGGUGAGUAACACGUGGGAACGUGCCUUUAGGUUCGGAAUAACUCAGGGAAACUUGUGCUAAUACCGAAUGUGCCCUUCGGGGGAAAGAUUUAUCGCCUUUAGAGCGGCCCGCGUCUGAUUAGCUAGUUGGUGAGGUAAUGGCUCACCAAGGCUACGAUCAGUAGCUGGUCUGAGAGGAUGACCAGCCACAUUGGGACUGAGACACGGCCCAAACUCCUCCGGGAGGCAGCAGUGGGGAAUCUUGCGCAAUGGGCGAAAGCCUGACGCAGCCAUGCCGCGUGGAUGAUGAAGGUCUUAGGAUUGUAAAAUCCUUUCACCGGUGAAGAUAAUGACUGUAGCCGGAGAAGAAGCCCCGGCUAACUACGUGCCAGCCGCCGCAGUAACAC
rnacentral:rRNA from 1 species